rnacentral:sRNA from 1 species
GUCAACCUUUUUCUUUUCCUUUUAACAGUCACCCUUUUGUUGUAGAAGUAUGACAGAACAAUUAAAUUGUUAUCUUAAUUUGUGUGAUAAAUGUGAAAAAAGGAUUGUAAUAAAACGAAAAAAGUAUUAUAAUUAUUUUUUCCAUUUCCUUAUUAUUGUAGCUAAGAUUUGUGUGAAGGUUAUGAAUAGAAAAAAAACAGACACCACAAAGAUCAAAGACGUAAUAAUUGUUUUCUAAUUAUUGUUAUCAUUAUUUGUUUAGAUAAUGUAUUUCUUGAUUAAUGUGGUGUUAUUCAAUUAUGGAGUUAAAGUCAAUUUUUUAAGCUUUAGAUUUGUUUUCUGAUAUUGCUUUUAAGAAUAUGUUUGUAUGAAUUUCAAAAUCUCUAUAAUAUGUCUUAGAUUUUGAUUCUAAUGAUUUACUCAUGAAACUCAAAAGAGUUUUCGUUUCAAAUCAAUUAAUAUACAAAGAUUUUACAAAUCUUUUAGUUUUGAAUAACAUUGGAUUUUACUGAAAUAUUUAAAAUCUUAAUUGAAUAACACCAAACUUUAAAAUCUAUUAAACAUGAUUUACAAAUAUGAGUUUUAAUAAUACUAGAUUUUAAAGCUGGAUUUAGAAUCAUUAGUUGAAUAACAGUACAAUUCUAUUAUAAGUGGAU